AAUUUGUUGAUAAUGGUUUAUGAAAAUGAAGGAAAACCAUCAUUUUAUAAGAUGAUGAGUAAACAUCUUGCGAAAAGAGUGUAAAACAUAGUGGUUUCUAAUAUUAUUCGCAGAGCUAUAUACGCGCUGUUUCGAAAUGUAAUUUGUUGAACACCGUAGCCGCCGCAACAGCAUUUCCCGUUCGUCCUAAGUUAAGCUAAACCUUCAUGAGAUGGUGUAAAUUCAUGAAACUCCAGAUCAGGCGAGGAAAGAAUAUAUCCGGCUAAUAGGAAAGUGUCAGCUUUGUAUCAUGCACAGCCGAUCCUUCUCUCCUACGUAGCUCAAAAUAUGAAGGAGUUUGACAUUGGUACUGAUUGGGUCUCGGCUUCGAGUUGGAACUUUAUUUAUGGAACGAUUUUUUAUAACCACAAUACCCCGAUUACAUUUCGAAGAAAUGUAUGAGUGAAAUAGUUGCAAAUGGGUGUAAUUUCAGAAUAAUUGCAAAUAAAACACGUUUCAUUCAUAUUUUGGCAGUGGUAAGCUUUUUCCGAGAAGAUAAUGAAGAUUUUAUUGUAAGCUACGACUCACUUACGGGUGAAAAAAAGCAAACUGUAUCACUUUGCCAGUUCAUGAGCUGAAUCAUAGGUGUCGCAUGACUAAUUUUGGUUUUGCCGCAAAUCGCCAAUAGAAAAUGCAGGUAAAAAGAGCGAUUUUCAAUUGAAAACACUGAAAAUACAUAUUAUCUCAAGCAGAGUGUCACGACAUUCCUUUCGGCUUUCUCCGAAUUUCGCACAGCUGGUUGCGAAUAAACUCGAUCGUAAUGCUUACGUUCCACAAUCAGCUCAGGGACGACUUUUUACCAUAAUUAGGCGUUCGAAUCGAGGAAUAUUCUCUAAAUCUUUGCCAUAUGAGCGUGAAAUGUACAGAGCUGGCUACAUUCCUUGACUUGAUACAAAGUUUAUGUAACUGACAAGUUUUCGUUCUGCUGAUAAAAAAUUACAAAUUACAUCUGAGGUUUGCAAUGCUUGAAAUUUUGCGUAGCUUGACACCAGCCCUAAAUGGUUUGCACAGCAACUGAGUACAUUGAUUUGGAUUACGAGCGAAUUCUCAUGGUGCUAUGCAUUUGAUACAAUAUUUACGGAGGACGUGAAGCAUAAAGAUACCACGUUAGAACAAAAUUCUAAUGACCUGAUCGGGAUGAACUGUUUGAUUAGGGAGAACGUAAUAUAAUGCUUGCAAUAUCUGCUAUAGGCGAUGUAUACCAAAACCAAAACAUGGAAAAUCAGUUCAAGCAACUUUGCAAAAAGAAAUCAAGCAAUUUAGGAAUUGUCAAGCCCUUGGAUCAAUAUGUACCUGUCAUCGAAUCAGAUCAUUUUCUAAGCAAGUAGGUAUGCGAAGAUAUCGGCGAAAUGAUAGUACGCUACACACUGAACAUGGAGAUAUUUUAACUUUUUGGGAGCUGCAUCGAGAACAUUGUCACGAAAAGGUACGGCUACAAAGCCGCACGAAUAUUCACAGCUUAAUUCAUAGCAUAGUACUGCCGCAUUUAAGUUAAAAAUAUAUUGUUGAGUAAGAUUAAAGUACGUGGUUUUAUCCAUAUUCAUUAUACACAAUGGCACAUGAUUUUUGGAAAAUUCAUUCGAAAAUAACAUGAUAAACUAAUGAAUUAAAACAUAUUUCGUUGAUCUUAUCAUAUCGACAAUCGAAACAAAAUACAAAUCUGUUGAUAGAAUUAGUUAGUUUCGUUAGUUUAAACGCAAAUCGCGCCAAUUACGCGAAACGCCACUUGCUGGCGCGGGUUGCCUUCGAAAUAUUUCUUAAUAUAGAUUUAUAUUUCAGUGAUACAACGUGAUAUGACGGCAAUAAACUUUUUUGAAUAUAAUUUGGCUUUUUAUUUCUGGGUAACAAGUCCUCUUUAUAAUUAACAAAAUCAUUAGCUGUUUCAACUGGAUGGGAAUUAUUUCAAUAUUACAAUUGAUUGAAACAACCAUCUUGGUUUACAGUUUCAACUUGCAACAAUCUUGAAAUCGACAAUUAUAUUAGUUGUUAGAACUGGUUGGGAAUUAUUUCAACAUUACAAUUGAUUGAAACAACCAUCGUGGUUUUCAGUUUGAAC